rnacentral:rRNA from 1 species
GCAAUGCCGCGUGAGUGAAGAAGGCCUUCGGGUUGUAAAGCUCUUUUGUCAGGGAAGAAACGGUGGUCGCUAAUAUCGGCUGCUAAUGACGGUACCUGAAGAAUAAGCACCGGCUAACUACGUGCCAGCAGCCGCGGUAAUACGUAGGGUGCAAGCGUUAAUCGGAAUUACUGGGCGUAAAGCGUGCGCAGGCGGUUAUAUAAGUCAGAUGUGAAAUCCCCGGGCUCAACCUGGGAACUGCAUUUGAGACUGUAUAGCUAGAGUGUGUCAGAGGGGGGUAGAAUUCCACGUGUAGCAGUGAAAUGCGUAGAGAUGUGGAGGAAUACCGAUGGCGAAGGCAACCCCCUGGGAUAACACUGACGCUCAUGCACGAAAGCGUGGGGAGCAAACAGGAUUAGAUACCCUGGUAGUCCACGCCCUAAACGAUGUCUACUAGUUGUCGGGUCUUAAUUGACUUGGUAACGCAGCUAACGCGUGAAGUANACCGCCUGGGGAGUACGGUCGCAAGAUUAAAACUCA